ACUGCCUUUUGGUUUCCAUGCCUCCUCCUACCAGUCUCCUUAAGACACUGCCUGCAACAGCUGAUUAAUCAUUGUUGAUGACUGCAGUUUUUCCCAUCCUUCCCGAUUUACAUCUGUUCAGGCCAAUUCAAAUAUGGUAAUGGACCUCCCGGUGAAUGGCUUGAGGAUGGUUUUCGCUUGCGUGACUUGAAUACAGUUACUAUGGGGGACUUGCCUGCUCGAUUGGACUGGUCUAUCAUGGGCUGAACUAUUCUUCUUCUAGCAUUAAUAAACCUGCAACAAAAAGUAGA